rnacentral:lncRNA from 1 species
GUACAUAGUAAGUGGUAACAGUGCCAGCAGAGUUGCCUGGGACCAGCUUAAUGUUCAUAUCAAUCUUCCCAAACAGAUAUUGGUUCUUGGAUUGAAAACCAGAGCCGGAGAAUUUGUCGAGGGUGAGAGUGAGAAGGUUUCCGUUUUCGAGAAUCUUGCCCCUGCCAUCACCCCAAGUAACAUCGAUGUCUUGGUUAAAGUUGGCAGCUGAGGCAAGUAUUACAAAGCUGAAUAAAAGAGAGAGAAGCAACGAAGUGGUCAUUAUUUUGGUGGGUUUGUAUUGUAAUUUAGAUUAUGAUGUUUGAAAUGGGGAAGUGAUAGAGGGUGGUUAUAUAGGGGGGAAGGAUUUGGUGAAACAGAGUAGAGAGGGGUUGUUUGGAAGCUUCGUGGUAUGUGUUUCCGUCGGGACAUUGAGUGAAUCGAAGUUGUAAACAGCUGGAACCGUAAAAGAGAAAGAAAGAAGGGGUCCAAAUGUGAUAAUACAUAACUAAUGGCUGUUCCUUGCUUCCAAAAUGCAUGUUUAAUUAAUGGGUUUGGUGCCUUCUUCCUAUGUCUGGUUGGUGCAAGCAGAUAGAUAUGAAUGUCAGGAAUUUAAUCCGAUUUUAAAAUUUGAGCUUUUAAAUAAAAAAUAAAUUAUUUAAGAUAAUAUCAAUGACUGUUAAAAUAAACUUUAAAAAUAUAGGUGUUUUUAUAUCCAAUAGUAAGUUACAUUAUAUUUUUAAAAAGAAGAUCGUGUAUUUGAAUUUUGAAAAUAUUGAAAUGAUCUUAAAAUAAACAUGAUUAAUUUGUUCUACAAUUUGAGUGAACCAAAAGAUUUCAUUAGCUUAAAAUCAACGGUGUUAAUUAAUAUGAGUAAUUGUCAAUGGCAAAACCAGGGGAGGAUAGCAGGGUCUUAGACCCCCUAAAAUAAAAAAAAUUUCGUAUGAUCUUUUGAGUAAAGGUAAAAUUAUAUUUUGGUCAAACUUAGAAAUAUAAAAAUUUAAUUUAAUCUUUUAAAAUUUAUAAAAAUAUAGUCUAUUAAAAUAAUAAAAUUAUAUUUUUUAUCGUAAAAAUUACAAUUUAAUUUUAACUGUUAAAUUUUUUUUAAAAUUUCACCCAUAUUGAUUGACUAAUUUUUGGGACCAACAAAAACUCAUCCACUGGGCUCAUCAUCUCAAACAAAAAUAAUAAUUAAACUAAUUAUAAAAAUGUCUAACCAAGUUCACAUUUUUAACAUUCUUUCAAUGAAAAUUAAAAUGAUUUUUACGCUUCGCGUUAAUUUAAUUAUUUAUUUAUCUCAAAUUUUGGAGUAUAAAUUUGAAUGUUAAAAUAUACUUUAAUCCUCCUAUCAUUUUCAGAAAUUUAAACCCUCUACUCUUGAGGAUAAAUAGACAUAAAUGAUUUGUUUAACUAUUAAGUAGAAAUUAAUCACAAAUAAUUAAAAUAGAAAAAUAAAAUUUAAAAUUUUUAAAAAAUAUAUAUUUGAACAUUAAGUAGCAAAAAAAAAACAAGUAACUUAAAUGUGAAAAUAAAAUUUAAAAAUUAUAAAAAUUAAUUCUUUUCCAAAAUACUAAUUAAAUUGUCUUUAUUAAGUUUUAAUACCUAAAUUACUUCUACUAAUUUUUUUUAUAGUACCUAAGCUACCCCUACUUACUCCUUAUGGCUAUCAAAGGAGAUGGUUUUAUUAUUUAUAGAUAGAUAGAUAACUUUAAAUAAAAGAAUGUUCAUCAAUUAGCUUUUAAAGUAUUGAUAAGUGUUAAAAGUAAUAUAUUUUAACCUCAUUCUUAAUGUGUUUUUGGGUGAUAAUUCGAUGUUAAUUGUGAAUUUUAUACUCUUAAUCCUUUAAAUUCAUGUUUUGAUGCCUAAUAGAGCAAAAGGAGCAAAAAACGAGUAAAAACCGAAAAAUCAAAGCAAGUUAUAGGACCUAUACGGGCAAACCCAUUCCACAUGACCAUGUGACCCACAUGAGCUACCAUACGAGCGUGUGGUAGGUCGUGUCGAUUGCACGGAUUUGCAUUCUGAAUAGCAAAAAAUCACGUUUUUAAAGUGUUUUAGGCAUUCUAAAACGUAUAUUUGACAAAAAUAAAAAGAUAGAAGGGAGCCAUUAUAGAAUUUUCAAGAAAACAACUCGAAAAACACCAUUGAAGCCGAUUCUGAAGUAGAUUUCCGUCAAGAUUGAAGACUCUCAGUUGAUUUCUUAAGAGAUUGUCAUAAGUUUUUUUUAUUUCUUUCGGUUAUACUGUAUCUUGGAUUUUUUUUUUCAAGCAUGAAUUAAUUUUCUAAAUACCUAGGGAGAUGAACCUUAUGAUGGAUUCUUACGUUUGAUUUUUAUUUUACGCAAUAAAUAAUUAUUUUUUAUUCUUAAUUAUCUGUGCUUAAUUUAUUGGUUUAAUAUUUCUAAACUAUUGAUCCAUAUUUGAUGUACUUAAAUCAGAGGUUAAAUAAACCAUAUGUAAGAGUAGAUUUUGCUUAAUUGAGUGGAGUUGCAUGCAAUCCCAAAAAUAUGAUGACAUAAAUCUAUUGGAUUAGAGUCAAAUCUAAUUGGGAAAUCCAUAGCCCGAGUUAAUGCGAUAAUAAGAGUUUUAAUUAAAAAGAACAAUCAAUUAAUCAACCUAGAGUCAGUUGCUCUUAUUCUCGAAAGAGAUAUUAGCAUAAUUAGGGGUUUCCAUGGAUCAUGUCACUAAAUAAAGAAAUUGCGUAAUUUAGAUUGAUAGUGACAGAUGAAAUCUAGGUGAAUUAUUUCAUGAGUAUUGUUUCGCUUCUUAGUUAUUAAUCCUUUAUUUGCUUCUUUUGUUCUUUGCUAUGUUUAUUAGUUAAUUAAAUUUAGUUUUUAAAUCAAUCACUUGAAUUAUUCUGUUAAAUGAUAGAAAAAGAUAAUAAUUAUUAGCACUUUUAAUUUUCAUAGAAACGAUAUCUUUAUUCAUUAUACCUAUACAAUUAACUGAUAAAUAAAUUUACUUUAGCUAGUUCCGUGGACAUAAAGUAAUACCAAUAAUUCGGAAUGAAUGAUAGGAAAUUUGAUUUUUUUUAUUGAAAUUUUAUAAAUAAAAAAUAAUAUUGAGAAAUCCAACUUAAGAAUUCAACACUAAUAUCACAUAAGAGAAAAGACAUAUGAUAUGAUAGGAAAGCAGGUUGAUGACUGGCUUGUGGAUAAUUAUGAAAAGGCAAACAAAAGAGAGAAUAUGAUUACAAAUAAACAGCUGGCUGCCAGAAUCAUUUCAUUGUGAAAAAAAUAUGUUAUAACAUGUUAAAAUAAUAUUAAUUUAUAUUAUAAUUAUAAUUAAUAUAAUAUGAAUGUCAAGCCCUCGAAUAAAUGCCUAUAAAAUAAUGUUGUGGCAUGGCCCCAUGGAGGUCUUGUUUGGAAUGGAUGUAUGUAUCAGUAUAUCCCACCAACUUCAAGUCGGUUGGCACACAAUACACGAACAAAUCAUUCACAAUAUCACAAUAUGGUAAAAUAAUAUAGAUCCCCACUUUUUUUUUACUUGAAAUCGCGAAAUUUUUACCAAGAUAAGUGCUAUUCGAGAACAAUUAAUUGAUUUAGAUUUGUGAAUUCGUAGAGAUUAUUUGGAGGUAGAAUGGAAAAAGUUAGGAGAAGAAUGCUCAUGAGUUAUGAAUGAGAAUAACAAAAAAUUAGAAGAAGAAAGGAUUUUUUUUUGGUUAGGUGCUUGGAAUGGAAUUGGUUAAGCAUUUUAUUCGAACAGAUAUAGAACUGGAAUGAAUGGUUUUAUGUCGUUUGGCUGUUCAGAUCUUACCUGUUAUAGAGAGGUGGUUGUUAUACACCUAUAACAACAUGUUGUUAUAGAGAGAUAAUAAGCUUACCAUAAAAUUUGUAUUGUGAAUUUUUAUUAAAUAAAGAAAAUGAGAAUUAUAUUAAAAAAAGAAAGAAAAUAGGAACCAAAUAAAUAAAAUUAAAAGACAUAUAAUAAGUGUAUGUAUUAUUGUUUUUAUGCAUAUUUUAUUUUACAUUAUUUCACAUGAUUAAUUAUAAAGUCCAUAAAUCUAAUAAGUUCAAUUAAUCAAUGAGUUAUCAAAUUAAAUUAAUUAAUUAAUUAAUUUAUAAUCAUUGUUAACCAAUGAGGUAAACAAGAGGAAGAAGAAGAUGAUUGAACAAGGAAGAAUGAAGUGAAGGUUGGGGAGUGGUUUUAGUUUUGAAGAUAGUUAGGGGAUUGGGAAGGAGUGUGUACGUGAAUCUAUAUGACUUGUUUGCAUGCCCCUUUUAUAGUGGGGAAUAAGCUUGGAUACGUGUCUUGAGGUUACUGACAUGGAAAUUUGAUUUGAUACCCUUGGCAGUGAUAAUGAUACUACGUCCUAGAAUCACGUCCUAAGAUGAGAUGUUAUAGGGUGACUAGCAAUUAAUUACUUUGGUCCUCCACGUGCCCCCACAUAGUCUUAGCGGAGUUGUUCCUUUCUAAAGUUCAUCGAGUUGAUGUUCGUGAACCAACCCUAAGUUCGUAAUGUAGUUGGUUCCAUUGAGAGAUACGCGUUCAGCUCUCUAUGGAUGCACUUUGAGGUUCAUAAAGUACAUUGUAAGGUCUGGGAGGAUCACUAGACAAGGUAUAACAAUCAUGAAUUACUAAAUUCAAGUAAUCAAUUUAUAACUUUAUGAUAUUUCAAAUUCAUAGCAAAAUAUUUAAUUAGGGAGCUUAAUAGUUUAUGGAAUUGAUAUAUUUAAUUUCACUCAGUGAAGAUUAUUUUCAUUUAAUAAAACAUGAUUAAUAAAUUUCUUCAAGUGAAAAUUAAUCAUUUUGUUGAAAUAAUAUUUUGAUUAAGAUAAUUUUCAUUUAAUAAAUGCUAAGUAAUAGGCUUGCUUAUAUGAAAGAGCUAUAAUUUUACUUAAAAUUUAGAUAAUAUGUUGUUAUAGAGAACUAAUUUAAUAAAGAACGUACUUCAUAAUUAUAGAUGUUACAAUUAAUAGUGAAAAAUUAUUAUAGAAAGUUAAAAUAGAAUAUUAAAAAUCGAUUCUUCUAAAAAUUUAACUAUUAUAAUAGAAUGUUGUUAUAACGAGUGAUUGUUAUAGAAAAAAAUAAUGCAUUACCCUAACAAAAUAGAUAAAUUUAAACUCUGACAAUUAUGAAUGAAGCAUAUUAAUUUUAAUUUCUCCUCUUAAUAUCUAAUCUAAGGUUUUGGUUUAACUUGCAUAUUUCAAUGAAUUAAUGAAUUUUGUUUAUCUAUUGUGAAAACUAUAUAUUUAGAAUACAUAUAAUAGAUUAAAAAUAAUGAAAUAUAAAUAUUGAAAUUAAUUAACAAUAACACAUAAAAUAUGUACGAUAUUAAAAUAAAAUUUACAUAUUAAAUUGUGAGUAAAAUAAAAUUUAAAGACAUAAACACAUCAUAUUAAGAGCACUAAAUACACUCCAAUUGCUUAUUAUGGUGUUGUCAUCAAUCUAGAGUUAGUGCUGAAUUCACUUAUGACACCAACUCAAUCAGCAACAUUAUUAAUACUAGAAAUUUUAUCACACAUAAGCGUGUGGAAAUCACAUAUUUAGAAUACAUAUAUGUGUUUAAAAAUAACAUGUAAUAAAUAAUAAAAGAUAUUGUUUGAAACUAAUAAUAAGACACAUGCAAUAUGUACGAAAUUAAAAUGAAAAAAUAUAGUUUAAAUUGUAAUUUUUAAAAAAAGUCAUUUUCCUAUAACAUGUCAAAAAGUUAUUGAAAGAAAAUUCAAUAUUAAAAUUCAAAUUAUGGCACACCCACAAUGUUUGUGAAAAAUUAAAUUACGUAUCAAAUAUAUUUGUAAAAAACUUAUAUAAAUAAUAAAUAAUGUUUUAGUUGAAUGGUAAAAUAUAAAUGAGAAAAAUUAAAGAGACAUGAGUUUAAAUCUUAUUUUAUAUACACAUGAGCGCGCGCACACACACAUAUAUAUUUGCAUUUUUCUAUUUUUAUAUAAAAUAAAUAAAAUGAUAGAAAUGCCUUCAAAAUAAUACAAUUUAUUUCAUAUAGUCAGGGUAUUUUAAUCUUUUUUCAACUGAGUUGGUAUCUAAUUAACCCGUGACACCAACUCAAUAAGGAGCCUUAAGUAUAGAUAUACAAUUGGUGGAGGUAAUAUAGCGUGCAUAAUAAAAUUAAAAUGUAAAAAGAUAAAAUAAAUCUUUAGUUGAGCGGUAAUUUAAGCUUUUAUUAAUACCAUCAACUUGGGUUCAAGUCCCACUGAUUGUAUUUAUUAUUCUUUUUAAAUAAAAAGAUAAAAGUACCCUCGAAAAAUAAAAUUUAUUUUUAAGUAUUAAAGAACAUUAUGAUAAUUUUCCUAAUUGAGUCGGUACUUAAUUGACUUAUGGAAUUAACUUAAUCAAGAACUUGAAUAAUAGUAUAGAUAAUGACUUGUUUGUAUAUACAUGUUCAAUUUUGUAUGUUGAAAAAAACCUUGUUAUUGAAGAUGUAUUUAUAUUUCCUCAGCAAAAUUGAAAAUAGAGAAAAAUAUAAAGAGAAACGAUUUUUUAUUGUUUUUAUUUGUGUGCUUGAUAAAAUAUACGAAAAAUUGAAAGUAAAAGUAAUUUUUUUUUUAUUGAUUGUUUAGUAGAGUUAAAAAAUGAAUUCAUUAAAAAUGGCUUCUGUCAUAAUUUGCUUCCGAACUAUAAGUACUUAAAUAAAUUUUUUUGUCCCAUUUUGAUACCUCAUUCAUUAUAAUUUUCGGUCCAAAAUAUUAAUGGUAUUAAAAAAAUUGUCAAACCAACCAAUGCGCUACAUGUUUGACAUUUUCACGUGUCAUUAAUUAUGUGACCAAUUAUCGAUGAUGUGGUCGUUAAUCAUUGAUCGUAUCGAACAACUGUUUGCUAGACAUUGGUUGGCAUGUAAAAGAAGGUCACAUAUACCAUUAAUUUUUUGGACCAAAAUUUAUAACAAAACAAUAGUUUAGGUAUUAAAAUAGGGAAAAAUGUUUACGCAAUAAAAUAAGAAAAGCAGAAUAGUGACUCGUGACCUAAACUUAAAAAAAAAUGCAUAAUUUUGAUAUAACAUACAUUUCUCUUAUCAUCCCAAUUUAUCAUAAUUUAUUUUUAUGCACUAAAAUGUAAAAUUAUUAUCCCUUCUUAUAUUUGAUCAAGUACGCCCUAUUUUUACUUCUUCACUUUUAUCUUACUUUUUAUUACAACACCAAUUUUAAAAAUAAAUAGAGUUGAAACAACAUUUUAAAAAAUAAUAAGAAACAUGACUAGGUUUACACAUUCAACCUCGUUUAUUUAUUGCCUUUUGACACAGUAAAUUUCCAGAGCAAGGGAAGACAUAAUCGUAGGAUAAAAGUUGCAAAGUUUGGCAUUCUGAUCUCAAUUUUUUAAAAUAAUAACAUGAAUAAACUAAUGAUAGAUUGAUUUAUUUAUUCUCUUUUUAAUUUUUUAUUUAAUCUGUUUUUUUUCACCAAUUUGUAUUAAUUUAAGAAUUUUGAUUUGUCUUAAAAUUAAAAGUGAUAAGUAUCGAAUUGAAUAUAUGUGAAAAUAUGAUGUAGUAUUAUAAAUGUGAAAUUGAAUUAAUAUCAUUAUGUGUAAUGCUAUUAUAUUGGAGAAUUGAUUAUUGGUUGAUGAAAUUAUGUAAUGAAAUUGAGAAAUUGUUACCCUAUUAACUGUUCGGGUAGAGUCGGAUAUAGUUGGCAUGCCAUAGGAUAGGAAGAGUUCAGGGUUACUUCGGUUGUACCGAUGAGGCACUGAGUGUCAAACACAUUGAUGAGCGUUGGGCUCAAACUAUUUACUUCGACAUUGUCCGAUGAGGCACUGGGUGUCAAACUGGUUUGAUUGGUUAGAUCCGUAUAUAUGUCCGAGUCCGAUUUAGAUUAAUAGGGGUAUAAAAUAAAUUUUGAUAAAUGAUAUUUGAAUUGGGUUAAUAUUAUGUUUUGAUGAUUUGUAUACAUAUUGUGAUUAACGGAUAUCGAUGACACGUAAAAAAUCAUACGAACCAGUUAUGUGCCUGAUGGGCCGAUAUAAAAAUGUGAUGAAUCAAUAAGUUCAAUUCAGAAUUUAAAUAAGGAAAUGAAAUAGUAAUUGUCAUUAAACUUAAAUUGGAUAUAUAACUGAUAAAUAGAUGGAAUGACAUAAUAUUAUAAGAAUGAUGUUCAUAUGGUUAAAUGUUGAAUUGAUUUUGAGAAUGGUAUUGAAAUGUGAUUUUAGGUGAGGUUUAUUUCAUAUUGAAAUGUUAUAUGAUGAGUUUAAAUGUUAACUCAGCUUGUUGAUUUAUGAUUGUCAUGUUUAGGUAAAAUUGUCAAGUUGAAUAACUUGUUGUGUUAAAUCGUAAAAUAAGGUAAGAUGUUUAAAUACCAGUGAACUUACUAAGCAUUUGUAAUGUUUACCUUCCACUUGUUUCCUUUUCCCUGUAAAUUGCCAACUUAAGGAACGUGUCAAGUGGAUCUUUGAGAAACUCACAUUAUCAUGUUGUUGAUUCGGUAUCUUUUAAUCAUUUAAAGUUCAAUUUUGUGGCAUGUAUAUAGGUAAUUUGUUUUGAUCAAUCUUGAAUGUUGGCACUUUGGUUCUUGAAUGUGAUUGGUAUUUUGAAUGGUUAUAUGUUAUAUACAUAGGUGUAAAGGUUGGUAAUGUGAUGCUCGAGUAUAGGCAUAAUAUGUAUAGAUAUGUUAUCUGGGAGUGAUAGUGUUUUUGGAACCUUAAAUAAUGUUAAACUUAAUUGGCAAAUAGGUUGUGUACUAAAAUGUGCACUUUGACAUUUUUGUCAAGUUAUGGUAGAAGCUUAAAUGGCAUUUAUUGAGGUUGAAAUGUUAAGAUGUUUGGCGUGCCUUAUUGAAUGAUUGAUGAAUACAUAUGCUAUUAAGCUUACCAAAGUGUUCAUUACAUGUGAAAUAACUUGUACGGUUUUGUAGUUAACAAAAUGGAUGAAUUAGGAUGUGUUUAGAAUAAUUUUAUGCAGGUUUGUAUUGGCCAAAUGUACACCAUUUUAGCCUUUAAUUUGUUUUGAUUAUAUUUAUUCUUUUUACUAUAAUGUUUAAAAUUAUUCAUAAUCUCUUUCGAACUCAUAAAUAAAAAAAUACACUAUUUUCAAUCUAACUAUCGUCAAUCUAAGACGAAUUUCAUAGUUUGUCGUUUUAGUAUCUUACGUAAAGAGAACGAAAGAAAAGUUCAACAACCGGAACUUAGACCUGGCAGUCUACACGUCUUCAUUUAAUAUUCGAAAUAGAAUAUUAUUAUUGAGCUUAUAUUACAUGUUACAAUAUAUGUAGAAUGAAACAAAAGAAUACUAUUGAGGAAAUUAAUUAAAUUAAAAUCCCUGUUAAGGAGCAGUGCAUUCUUUAGGAAGUCCCUGAGGGAAUCGCUUGGUGUCAGUGCAGUAAUUGUAAAUCAUGUAAUUUUUCUGAACCCAUUUCAGCCUUUCUUGGCUCGUUAUAUCCAGUUCUUGCGAUAGCCAUGAAUUUUGAGAGGGCGAGGUGGAGGAACAUGAUGAUUUCCCGGAAGACCACACACAUGUAUCAGCCUUGUAAUUCCUGUAAGCAGCGGUGAAAGGAGCUUGGCUCCAAUCUGUCUUAACAAGACCACCUCGAGUGGCCCAAUCAUCGGCGUUCCAAAGACUCGAAUACACUCUCAUCGGCUGGCUCUUUGGGAACGCAACGCCCUUCGAUUCCAAGUUCUUGAACUCUCUGAGCGGAGUCCCAUCAACAGAGAAGCUGUGAACAUUCAAAAGAAUCACAGUGAAACAUAAUGAAAAUAAUCGAAACUGUAAAAUUGAAUGGGGGGGGGGUUGUAAAAGAAGACGUACAUAAUACGUUGAGGGUUCCAAAGAAGGGAGUAGGUGUGGAAGUCUUUGGUGGGAUCGAACCAAAGGUAGAACUGUUGCUCUUUGUCACCUUUGCCUUGUGUAUAUACAUUGGUGUGGACUAUGUAUGGGUCUCCGCUUAGGUUCCCCAAGAACUCGAAGUCGAUUUCAUCCCAUGUCGACCCUUCCGAACGAAGCUGCAAUUGUCACCCCACAUAUCAGCACAGAGUUGUAAAAUAAAUAAGAGACAAGUAUGAUGAUACAACUUACAUAGUAAGUGGUAACAGUGCCAGCAGAGUUGCUUGGGACCAGCUUAAUGUUCAUAUCAAUCUUCCCAAACAGAUAUUGGUUCUUGGAUUGAAAACCAGAGCCGGAGAAUUUGUCGAGGGUGAGAGUGAGAAGGUUUCCGUUUUCGAGAAUCUUGCCCCUCCCAUCUCCCCAAGUAACGUCGAUGUCUUGGUUAAAGUUGGCGGCUGAAGCAACCAUUACAAAGCUGAUUAAGGCAGAUAGUAGCAGCAAUGAAGUCCUCAUUUUUUUUGGUAGGUUUGUAUUAUGAUGUUAGGAAAUGGGGGAGUGAUAGAGGGUGGUUAUAUAGGGGAGGUGGAUUUGGUGAGAAAGAUGAAGAGAGAAGCUUCGUGGUAUGUGUUACCGUCGGGACAUUGAGUGAAUCAAAGUUGUAAACAGCUGGAAACAUAAAGAGAAAGAAAGAAAAGAAAAAGGUCCAAAUCAAUAAUACUGAGGGGUGUUGCUUGGAAGUUGGUACCAAUAUGCAUGUAUAAUUUAUGGAUUUGGUGCCGCCUUUCCAUGUCUGGUUACUGUGCAUUUGCAUGUCAGGAAUUGAACCGGCAGUUGAAGCAGUAAAACUUUGAUUCAGAGUUUCAACUUUAAAAUAAUUAAUAUUCAUUAUAUCCAUCAGUGUAAUAAACAUAUCACAAUCAAAACACACUGUAAUACACUCACCAAUCCCAAACGAGGUUGGGGUUUGGAGGCCAGAACCCAACUGUUUAUACGCAGGCUUAUACGUUGUGCAAUUUGAGUGAACCACAAGAUUUCAUUAGCCUAAAACCAGUGGUGUUAAUUAAUGUGAGUCAUUGUCAUAUUGGCUGACUAAUUUUUGGGGACCAAACCAGAACUCAACCACUGGGCUCAUCACGUUAAUCAAAACAACUAUUAAUUAUUAAUUAUUAAUUAAAUCCAUUACAAAAAAUGCCUGACCAUAACUAUUUUCUUUUCAUUUAUUAUCUAGACUGAAAUUUGAAUCCUUAAUUCAAAAAAGUAAAAUCCAUUGGUGAAUUACUUUGUGUUUGAUUAUUUCAAGGAUUUCCGUAAUGAAAAAAAUCUUAACUUUUGAACAAGUCAAUUGUUCUAGAAAUAUCUUAAAAAGUCAAGUAAUAAUAUACAUUCUAAAAAAAACUAAAAUUGAUAAAUCAAUAAUCUAUUAAAUAUUAAAUUUAGGUGUUAUUUGAUAAAUUAAAAAAAAUUAAAUGUUCAAAAAUUAAGUAUUGAGUUUAAGUUAUAAAAUUUGUUUGAUAUAUUACUUAAAAUUAGUUAUGGAAUAUAAUUAGAUUGUUUGAUAAAUAUAGAUUUUAAAUUAUAAAAAAUUAUAUUCUACAUUUUAUCUUUAAUUUUUAAACAUUUCACCUUAUUCUAAACAAAAAUUAAAAUUUCAAACGUAAAAUUUUUAUAAAAAAUAUAACAUUACAAAAAACUAAAAUUAAAAUAAUUGAAAAUAUUUUCAAUUAAGUGAUAAAUAAUUUUUAUCUACUUAUUAUUUUUCACAUUUUUUUAUAAGGAAUUCUAACAUAUUGCCUUAAUUUUCAACUUUUUAUCAAAGAAGGUCUUAGUCAUGAUUUAAUUAAAAUUUAACAUUGUAUUGUGCCCUCUUCUUUUCAUAGAAAAAGCCUAGCUAUUCAACUUUUUCAAAUUAAAUCUUUACUCUGUGGGCAGCGGCGCUGGCCUUCAAGCUUGUUGCUAAUCACAAUUCCUCUUAACAAUUUUUGUAGUUUUAUUUUGUUUUUAAUUUCAAUCUACAUUAUUGUGGUUUUGUCUACAGUUUUGUGGUUUUAUUUUGUCCACAUUUUUUAUGGUUUUUGUUUUGUCCACUUUGUUUUCUUUGAAAAUAGUGGUGGUUUUAUUUUUACAUUUAAUUUUUUAGUCAUGUUCUAACAGGUAUGUGAGAUAUUGUAACACCCCCAACCCGUAUCCGUCGCCGGAACUGGGUUACGGAGUAUUACCGGAUAUAUCGGAUAACUUAUCACUAAUUCACAAAUAAAUAACAUACAUAGCAUACUUUAAUCAAUACAUUACCUAGAUAUUAGAUACAUGCCACAAUAUCAAAAGAAAGGCACAUCACUAAAAUUCACUAAUUCAAAAAUAUUUUUAAAGUCACGCUUAACUUAUAAUUAUUAAUUAAUAAAUUUUUCUAACUUUUUGAUCGAAUUUAGUGAUCUCAAAUCACUGUUCUGACACUACUGAAAAUUGAGCUGUUACAACUCUUCCCCCCUUAAAAAUUUUCGUCCUCGAAAUUUCUCACUGAUACAAGCUAUUAAGUCAAAUCUUUCUUCCACCUUUUUUAUCGAAGUCCAUAAAAUUAAUCAUAACUCAUAUCACUUCCGAACUCAUAUCAAAACUCAUUUUAGAACUUGAUACUAUGACUGAACUUAAUUGAGUAGCUCUGAUGUUCUCCUGUCAUCACUUUCUCACUAGUAGUAUAACUACCGAGAAUUUCCAGUAAUCGUCAAUCAAAACAUAACUGAGAAACCCGUAUUAUUAAACUCUGACUGAUAUUUUUGACGUGGUUGCAUCUGUAACUUUCAACUGAUAUUUGUUUCUUUUUUUUUCCAUGAAAGCGUCAAGUAAUAUCAUUUUACACAACUGCAAUAACUUCAACAACAAGGACAACUUUAACCCAUAAUAAUAUUUCCCGAUUAAAACUGACCUGAUAGAUAUAUUUCUGUAUCAAGUCUUCUAGAAUCUGAUUUUUUCAUUCUGAUUGUCCUUCUAUUUACCCAUGAAUACACAAAAUUUAUUCCCGGUCCUGAGAAUAGACUCAAAUGCAUAAAAACCAGUUGCCUACGGAUUAUCCUUCAUCCUUUAUCCAGCAGAGCCAUCUCUUGCAAUCUAUGAACCUGAACCAUCUUAUCUAAUACCUUCGAACGAAGACCUUGAAAACCCAUCCAGCCAGAAAAAAGCAGAUAAUUUAAACCCAUUGUGAAGACCCAAAAUGUACUGAUUCCAUCAGUGAUUAUAACUCAAUUAACUUUUCAAUGAAUAACCCACUUUGAUUAGAACAACUGAGUCGAUUUUAUCUAUCAGAUAAUAACAUUUCAGAAUAAUCCAUUCUUCUUGUUGUCAAAACAAUCCAGAUAUACCAUAUAUCAUAAUUUUCUCGGAAUAUCAACAGAAAUUUACCACAAACUGCAUUAACUCAAACGAAUUAUGACAUCUCAUUAUUGACUUGCUGACAUAAUUCAGGAUUACCUGAGAAAUAAAAACCAAUGUACAAAUUUGAGCUCAAUCUUCCACCAUCUACUCUUUUUUCGAUGUCAACCCUUUCAUGAAAACUGGAAAAGAAUUAUAUAUAAUAAACCUAUUUCAAUUAUAAUCAUCGAAGCUUUGAACUAUACCGAAGCCACAACCAUCAGAUAGAUUAAAAACUAUAGAGCAAUAAUAGGACUGGCGUUCCAACUGUAUAGAUAGAACAAUACCUCAACAUCAAUAGUGAAUUCCAAAAUAGAUGAAGAAAAUCGAAAGGAGUCCCAUUAACAACCAGUGCAGUAAUACAACUUCUAUAAUAUGAUAUCCAUAUCACCGAGCUACCAUGAUUGAACCAAAAUUAAUAACAGUAAUAAAUAUAACUACCUCCGGCCAAUGAAUAACUUUUAUAGAUGAACCAUGUUUAAUAAAUAAGAUUAGACCAUAAGAAUGAUAAGAAAACCGAGAUAAUAAAAUCCAAGAUGUGAAGCUAUACUGAAUUUUCGAGAAUAAAAACCACAUUGAAUGAUAAAGAGAUCGAUGAUAUCCCAGAGAAAAUUCAGAAGAAGAAUAUCGCUCGUACACACUAAAAAUAGUUGUGAUAAAGACAAUAUAAAUUCCAUAUAUGUAAUUCGGAAAAUUCAACCAGUAGAAAUAGAAAAUAACUUCAUAUGAUUCUUAUCAUCAAGUCUUCUAUCAAACAUAAUAGAUUAGAAAACCAAAGAAAGAUAGAACAAUGCCAAUCAUAAAUCAACCAGACUAACAAUACUUCCAGCUAACAUUAUGUUUAACCAAACUUUCUAUAUGAUAAGAAUCACAUCUGAAAAUAAACAGUUGAUGCUUCUUUAUUUGUUCGGGUCGUACUGGUUCAACGUUGUAUGUUCUUGUGUACGUUGAUGAUAUUAUUGUUACAGGUGAUGUGCCUUCUGCUAUAGAGUGGUUUGUUCAAUUGUUAAAUAGUAAGUUCUCGCUUAAGGACAUGGGCGAUCUUCAUUACUUUCUUGGGAUAGAAGUUACUCGUUCUUCAUCAGGCUGUCUUCAUCUAUGUCAGAAGAAGUAUAUACGUGAUAUUCUUAUUCGGUGUUCGAUGGAAAAUGCGAAGAGUGUUAAUACACCGAUGAUUAGUUCCUCUAUCAUGACUAGAGAUGGUGGUGAGCGUUUAGAGGAUCCGACUGAAUACAGGAGCCUUGCUGGAGCAUUACAGUAUGUCACUCUUACGCGGCCUGAUGUUGCAUACGCUGUAAAUCGAAUAUGUCAGUUUAUGCAUUGUCCCACUUCUGUUCAUAUGACUGCUCUAAAGCGUAUUUUGAGGUAUCUAGGUGGAACGAUUGAAUUUGGGAUUGUGUUUCGUCCGUCCACUAGUUUGUCAUUAGUUGGGUAUGCUGAUGCAAACUGGGGGUUAGAUUUUGAUGACUGGAGGUCUACUACUGGGUACUAUGUUUAUUUCGGAUGUAAUCCUGUGUCGUGGUGUACGAAGAAACAGCAGGUUGUUGCUCGGUCUACUGCUGAGGCAGAAUACCAGAGUCUUGCCGCGGUCACUAGUGAGGUUACAUGGCUUUUGUCGUUACUUCAAGAAUUACAUGUUCAGUCUACUAGUAUUCCCAAUAUUUGGUGUGACAGUUCUGGUGCGGUUGCAGUUGCUACUAAUCCUGUUGUUCAUUCAAAGUUUAAGCAUGUUGAAUUAGAUUUAUUUUUCGUUCGUGAAAAGGUUGCUGAUGGUACUGUUGCCGUUGGUGAGGUUCCGGCGUGUGAUCAAGUUGCUGAUGUUCUCACUAAGCCACUUUCGCUAUCGAUUUUUGCUCGUUUUCGAAAUUUCCUACGGGUCUUGCCUGUGGAGAAGAUGGAUGAAUAUUAGAGUAUAGAGAGUUGUUAGUUAGUUGUGAAUAUGGUAGAAGGUUGUUGCUUAGUAUGGAGCAGUUACUCAUGUCUAUAAAUACUGUACAUCUGUAUUCAGAGAGCAAGGAUUUUUGAAUAAACAAACAAAGAAGUUUAUUCUUCAUUUUCUAUUUUGUUCUCUGUUUGGCUAGAUAUUUCUUUCUAUUUUAUCUAGCUCUUUCAUUCUCGAAAGGCUAGGCUAGUAACACUUUUACUCUACGAAAGAAAAACUGAGCCACCACAAACCAAGGCAUCCCCCCCCCCCCCCCACAAAAAAAAAUUGUAACUAAACAUCUUGUGAAAAUUCUUAAAAAAAUUAUAAAAAAUUAAAAAUUUUAAAUUUUAUACUGCAGUUUUUUAAUGAUUUUUACAAUUUUUAGUUAACGAUUAUUUUACAGUUUUUUUAAGAAUUGAGUAUUUUGUUACAAAAUUGUGUUUUUUCUCUAGGAAUUUGAGUAUUGGCAAAAUUAGGCAAAAAUGCCACUUUUAAUAAAAAAAAUUAGGAAAUCAAGAUCAAAUUGAUAAAAUAUGUAAGUAUUGAGGACUAAAUAUAUUAUUAUACCAGUUAGAAAAAGACUUUUGAUUAUCAAUUUAACGACAAGUAAUCAAAAUAAAAAUAAAUUCAAACAUUAAUACCUAAAUUAAAAAAUUUUAAAUUAAGUAACCAAAAUAAAAAAUGCGAGCAUAAUUAAGUAAAUUAUCAAUUUAUCCGAAUUUAUAUUAUAUUUAUUAUUAAUAUAUCAAAAUUUAUAUGAAUGUUAUAUUAUUUUAAAUCAUUUUGAGCUUCUAGUCAGCUACUAAAUGCGAAUAUAUAAUGUUGUGGCAUGGCCCAUCGAGGUCUUGCUUCGAAUGGAUGUAUGUUGAUAUAUGUCUCUCACCAACUUCAAAGUCGGCUGGCACACCAAACACGAACAAAUCAUUGGCAAAAUAUCACAAUAUAUAUCCCGAGGUGUCACAUGCGAUUUUUCUAUAGGUUUUCUUUAAGUAAGUUGACCAUAGGUCUACGGUAGCAACUGGAUACAUUUUCAAUCAGAAAAUAUUAAUAUAUACAUAUUUUAUAUAUGAAUAUGAUAAAAUAUCAGAUUAAUUUAAAAAUUUACAUAUAUAACAAUUACAAUUAUAUCAAUAAUUGUAUUGUUAAAAUAUUAUUUGUAUAAAAAAUUAUAAUAUGAUUUUAAUUUUAGAUGGAUAAAAACAGAUUUCGUAGUUGAUUAUUGAGCUUAUAUUAUUAAUUACACCUAUAUAUUUCCCUGGUUAGAUGUUUUGACUUCAAUCAGAGAAACAUUAAAGUAGUAUAAUUUCCGAAACUGAAUAGUAUUAUUUAUUGAGCUUAGUUUUACAUGUUACAAAACAUUGACUGAAACAAAAGAAUACUGUGAGGCUGCUUUUGAACAAAGUAUCUGUCCUUCGGCAUGACUAGCGAUGGGAAUCUUAAUCAACAAAUUAAGAAGCGGUGCACUCUUUAGGAAGUCCCAUAGGAAAUCGCUUGGUGUCGGUGCAGUAAUUGUAAAUCAUAUAAUUUUUCUGAACCCAUUUGAGCCUUUGUUGGCUCGCUAUAUCCAGUUCUUGCGAUAGCCAUGAAUUUUGGGAGGGUGAUGAGGUGUAGGAACAUGAUGAUUUACCGGAAGACCAGACACAUGCAUCAGCUUUGAAAGUCCUGUAAGAAGCAGUGAAAGGAGCUAGGCUCCAAUCCGUCUUAACAAGACCACCUCGAGUGGCCCAAUCAUCGGCGUUCCAAAGACUCGAAUACACUCUCAUCGGCUGGCUCUUUGGGAACGCAACGCCCUUUGAUUCCAAGUUCUUGAACUCUCUAAUUGGUGUCCCAUCAACAGAGAAGCUGUAAACAUUCAAAAGAAUCACAAUUAAACAUACUGAAAAUAAUCGAAACUGAAACGUUUUUAGAAAAAUGGGAUUGUAUAAUAAGACAUACAUAAUACGUUGAGGGAUCCAAAGAAGGGAGUAGGUAUGAAAGUCUUUGGUGGGAUCGAACCAAAGGUAGAACUGUUGCUCUUUGUCACCUUUGCCUUGUGUAUAUACAUUGGUGUGGACUAUGUAUGGGUCUCCGCUUAGGUUCCCCAAGAAUUCGAAGUCGAUUUCAUCCCAUGUCGACCCUUCCGAACGAAGCUGCAAUUGUCACCCCAGAUAUCAACAGAGUUCUAACAUAAAUAAGAGACAAGUAUGAUGAUAAAACUUACAUAAUAAGUGGUAACAGUGCCAGCAGAGUUGCCUGGGACCAGCUUAAUGUUCAUAUCGAUCUUCCCAAAGAGAUACUG